AAGUGUGCCAGACUAGUGUGCCUACUUGAGACCUUUGAUUUACCAGUAAGUGUUUAUACAACUUUCAUAACUGGGGAGCGGUCCGCAACUAUCCAUUACUCCAAGCAUGUACCAGGCAAUUUGCUGGAUGUCAGAGGCCCUGCCCAAAACACUGUUCAAAGGACCCCAGGUUCUCUCCCAAAGUUGUCUUGUACUGACAGAUCCAGCAUCCCUAUCUCAUGAAAAGGCUAUCAGAUGAGAGCCAGGAAGAACUAUUAAGACUUUGGCUGAACAGCCAGGAUUAGAGAAAUUUAUAUUUUCCAGCAUAACCAGCUUGUUGAAGGGGCUUAACUCAGUGGAGGCACAACCAGGAAGUGGAUUUAACUUCCUCCAGGCAAAGCUCCCAACUAAGGCUCCCAGUGCCGACUCACGCAUGGGCUGCAUUUGUGGUUUCCAAGGUCUCCCGACAUCUAUACUUACAGCAGAUGGCAAACUCAACAGGCAUCUCCAACUCUGCAUGUUGAGUUAAAACAUUAAAUGUGGCUUUUCCAGCCUCUCAGCAAGUGGUGGCCAAGUGUUAGAAUAUUGGCAAAUGAAACUGAACAGAAAAUCUGUUGACAUGCUUCUGAAAAAGUGAAGAAGAACAAAGCUGGAGGAAUGAUACUACUUGACCUCAAGACCUACUGCACAACUCCGGUAAUCAAGACAAUAUGGUAUUUCUAAAAGAAUGAACAAAUAGGUUAAUGAAAAUAAUGUGGAUUUUUGAUAAAUGAUCUGUA